UACAGAGGGUGCGAGCGUUGUCCGGAAUCACUGGGCGUAAAGGGCGCGUAGGCGGCUUGGUAAGGUUGCGGUGAAAGCCCGGGGCUCAACCCCGGGUCGGCCGUGGCAACUGCUGAGCUGGAGCACUGUAGAGGCAGGUGGAAUUCCGGGUGUAGCGGUGGAAUGCGUAGAGAUCCGGAAGAACACCGGUGGCGAAGGCGGCCUGCUGGGCAGUGGCUGACGCUGAUGCGCGAAAGCCAGGGGAGCAAACGGG
rnacentral:rRNA from 1 species